AGUGAACGCUGGCGGUAGGCCUAACACAUGCAAGUCGAACGGCAGCACAGUAAGAGCUUGCUCUUACGGGUGGCGAGUGGCGGACGGGUGAGGAAUACAUCGGAAUCUACUUUUUCGUGGGGGAUAACGUAGGGAAACUUACGCUAAUACCGCAUACGACCUACGGGUGAAAGCAGGGGAUCUUCGGACCUUGCGCGAUUGAAUGAGCCGAUGUCGGAUUAGCUAGUUGGCGGGGUAAAGGCCCACCAAGGCGACGAUCCGUAGCUGGUCUGAGAGGAUGAGCAGCCACACUGAAACAGAGACACGGUCCAGACUCCUACGGGAGGCAGCAGUGGGGAAUUUUGGACAAUGGGCACAAGCCUGAUCCAGCCAUACCGCGUGGGUGAAGAAGGCCUUCGGGUUGUAAAGCCCUUUUGUUGGGAAAGAAAAGCAGCAGGUUAAUACCCCGCUGUUCUGACGGUACCCAAAGAAUAAGCACCGGCUAACUUCGUG
rnacentral:rRNA from 1 species